GAUAAACGCUGGCGGCAUGCCUAAUACAUGCAAGUCGAACGGACUGGAUUUAUCCAGUCAGUGGCGAACGGGUGAGUAACACGUAAGUAACCUAACCUUUAGACGAGGAUAACCGCUGGAAACGGCAGCUAAUACUGGAUAGGACUAGCGAUCACAAGAUUACUAGUUUAAAGGCGCAAAAAGGCGCCGGUAGAGGAAGGGCUUGCGGCGCAUUAGAUAGUUGGGGGGGUAACGGCCCACCAAGUCAGCGAUGCGUAGCUGAGCUGAGAGGCUGAACAGCCACACUGGGACUGAGACACGGCCCAGACUCCUACGGGAGGCAGCAGUAGGGAAUUUUCGGCAAUGGACGAAAGUCUGACCGAGCAAUGCCGCGUGAAUGAAGAAGGUCUUCGGAUUGUAAAGUUCUGUUAUUGGGAAAGAACAGCAUAUGGAGGAAAUGCCAUAUGUAUGACGGUACCUGAUGAGGAAGCUCCGGCUAACUACGUGCCAGCAGCCGCGGUAAUACGUAGGGAGCGAGCGUUAUCCGGAAUUAUUGGGCGUAAAGCGUGCGUAGGCGGUUUGUUAAGUCAGUUGUAAAAGAUCUCAGCCCAACUGAGUAGGGCAAUUGAAACUGGCAGACUUGAGUACGGUAGAGGUAAGUGGAAUUC
rnacentral:rRNA from 1 species